rnacentral:misc_RNA from 1 species
GAUGAAGAACGUAGCGAAAUGCGAUAAGUAAUGUGAAUUGCAGAAUUCAGUGAAUCAUCGAAUCUUUGAACGCACAUUGCGCCCGCCAGUAUUCUGGCGAGCAUGCCUGUUCGAGCGUCAUUUCAACCAUCAAGCCCCAGGCUUGUGUUGGAGCCCUGCGGCUGCCGCAGCCUCCCAAAACCAGUGGCGGGCUUGCUAUCACACCGAGUGCAGUAGUUUACUCUUCGCUCAGGGCGUGUGGCGGGUGCUAGCCGUGAAACCCCCAACUUCUCAAGGUUGACCUCGGAUCAGGUAGGAAUACCCGCUGAACUUAAGCAUAUCAAUAAGCGGAGGA